UACGGGGGGUGCGAGCGUUGUCCGGAAUCACUGGGCGUAAAGGGCGCGUAGGUGGCUUGGCAAGCGCGUGGUGAAAGCCUGGGGCUCAACCCCGGGUCUGCCAUGCGAACUGCUAUGGCUUGAGCACUGUAGAGGCAGGUAGAAUUCCGGGUGUAGCGGUGGAAUGCGUAGAGAUCCGGAAGAAUACCGGUGGCGAAGGCGACCUGCUGGGCAGUGGCUGACACUGAGGCGCGACAGCGUGGGGAGCAAACAGG
rnacentral:rRNA from 1 species